rnacentral:misc_RNA from 1 species
GAAAUGCGAUAAGUAUUGUGAAUUGCAGAAUUCAGUGAAUCAUCGAAUCUUUGAACGCACAUUGCGCCCGCCAGUAUUCUGGCGGGCAUGCCUGUUCGAGCGUCAUUACAACCCUCAGGCCCCCGGGCCUGGCGUUGGGGAUCGGCGGAAGCCCCCUGCGGGCACAACGCCGUCCCCCAAAUACAGUGGCGGUCCCGCCGCAGCUUCCAUUGCGUAGUAGCUAACACCUCGCAACUGGAGAGCGGCGCGGCCACGCCGUAAAACACCCAACUUCUGAAUGUUGACCUCGAAUCAGGUAGGAAUACCCGCUGAACUUAAGC